AAAUAUGAAGCAAUUUGCAUAUUAAUUUCGACCUAAUAAUAUGACAUAAAUAUAUCCUUAUUUA
rnacentral:tRNA from 1 species